rnacentral:rRNA from 1 species
CGCAUCUGUGCAUGCAGCAUAUCAAUAGCGGAGGAAAAGAAACUAACAAGGAUUCCCCUAGUAACGGCGAGUGAAGCGGGAAGAGCUCAAAUUUGAAAUCUUAAAGGGUUUCCCUUUACGAAUUGUAGUUUAAAGAAGUGUUUUCUGUUGAGGUUUUGGUAAAAGUUCUUUGGAAUAGGACAUCAUAGAGGGUGAGAAUCCCGUAUUUGACCUUUACUUUCAACUUUGUGAUACACUUUCAAAGAGUCGGAUUGUUUGGGAAUGCAGUCCAAAAUGGGUGGUAAAUUUCAUCUAAAGCUAAAUAUUGGCGAGAGACCGAUAGCGAACAAGGUACCGUGAGGGAAAGAUGAAAAGAACUUUGAAAAGAGAGUUAAACAGUACGUGAAAUUGUCAAAAGGGAAGCGUUUGACACCAGUGUUGUUUUUCUGAAAAUCAAUUAAAGAACUGUUUAUAGCUAAGCUGUUUAGACUUUAUCAGCUAACUGUUUAGUUUUGAGCUUUUCUUUAAUGCACUUUUCAGUUAACAAGUCAACGAUCAAUUUCUUUUGCUGUAAAAAAGCUUGAGGAAGGUGGCUUGAGAUUCGUCUUAAGUGUUUAUAGCCUCUUGCCUAUGCAGUCGGAGAGAUUGAGGUCUGCAGCGUAGAUCCUUCGGGGCUAAAUGCAUUUGUGCUAAGUUAUAGCAUUUUAUAGACAACUUGUUGACUAUGAUUUGUCUUGUAGCUUACUCGCUUAUGUUAUUUUACCUACGCUUAGGAUGUUGAGCGCAUGUCUCUCUCU